rnacentral:rRNA from 1 species
UACGUAGGAGGCGAGCGUUGUCCGGAGUUACUGGGCGUAAAGGGUGCGCAGGCGGCGGUUCGCGUGGCGAGAUGAAAUCUCCUGGCUUACCUGGGAGGAUGGUCGCCAGACGGGAUCGCUUGAGGGUCGGAGAGGGGCGUGGAAUUCCGGGUGGAGCGGUGAAAUGCGUAGAGAUCCGGAGGAACACCGACGGCGUAGGCAGCGCCCUGGACGACACCUGACGCUGGAGGCACGAAAGCUGGGGGAGCGAACAGG